GACGAACGCUGGCGGCGUGCCUAAUACAUGCAAGUAGGACGCAGUUGCGAACGGGUGAGUAACGCGUAGGUAACUACCUAUUAGAGGGGGAUAACUAUUGGAAACGAUAGCUAAUACCGCAUACUAGUAGAUGGAUCUGCGUUGUAUUAGCUAGUAGGUGGGGUAAUGGCCUACCUAGGCAACGAUACAUAGCCGACCGGGAGAGGGGAUCGGCCACACUGGGACUGUGAAACGGCCCAGAAUCCUACGGGAGGCAGCAGGAGGGAAUCUUCGGCAAUGGGGGGAACCCUUACCGAGCAACUCCGGGUGAGUGAAGAAGGUUUUCGGAUCGUAAAGCUCUGUUGUUAAGGAAGCGGUACUUAACCAGAAAGGGACGGCUAACUACGUGCCAGCAGCCGCGGUAAUUC
rnacentral:rRNA from 1 species